rnacentral:rRNA from 1 species
GCAAAGGGUGCGGGGUCGUUGAGGAGGAGGGUUGCUGGUCUCGAGGCGGCGGCGGAGACGGCGGAGGGAGCGGGAGGAGGUGGUGGCGACGUGCCGGCCCGGAGGUAGGUGGCGGCGGCGGACGGCCAGGAGACGGGAGGAAGGCGGCGGGCGGCCAGGAGACGGGAGCGGGCGGCAAGUCGGCGACGGACGGCAAGGAGGCGGGAGCGGGCGGCCAGGAGACGGGAGCGGGCGGACAGGAGAAGAGGCGGAGGCGCUCACACUCGUCGGGAGGCGGCCAGGAGGAGACGAAGGGGUUGUUCCGCCCUCUCGCAGUCGUAGGGCGGCCGUAAGGAGACGACGGGGAGCCUUUUUGCACUCGCACCGCCCCACCGCCGCAGGAGGAGACGACGGCUGCUGGAGUAGGAUCGGUCAUUCAAAAGAAAUGUAAGUUCACACCUAAUUAUCUUGUCGUACGAAAUACAAGGAAGGUGUGUUCUAUUAGACUAAAAAGACCAAUCACGUACCUACUAGGAAGGUGCGUCGUUUGUUUCAAUUGGUGGUAAUAAGACCUUGUUAACGGCGUCCAUUUAAUAGUACUAGGUUGCGGUGUGAGUUGUGAUUUUCCCAAUCAGACCAAUAACUCAUAAAUUCGAGAAGCAUACCAAGUGUUUAACAAACGGGAGUGGACCAGGCCCUUCAGCUGCUACCACCGCGACGGACUCUCCUGUUGGUGCUUGCCAAUAUGAUUACUCUAUUGUAUCCAAAUUAUUAGCAUGUCCAAUGAUAAUAUCAAGAAGUCGUUUUCGUUAGACGAGAUAGGAGAGGGAGUUAAAAAGAGCAGUUAGAGACUUGCAACGAUCUGUUUCUUUAACUGUUUCAAGUCAACAUCCCCUCCUAGUUAGAGACUUGUAACGAUCUGUUUAUUUAACUGUUUCAAGUCAACGUCCCCUCCAGUAGUUUCCCUUGACGAGGUCAAAAGACACACUCAGUAACAGGCCAAGACUUCUAAGACUGUUACAUGUUACAGGUCAAGUCAAAUCAAGUGUGAAAAACGUUAAGUGUUUAGUACUGCCCAAUUAAGAAUAAAAACUGAUUUGAGUUAAAACGAAUGCGAUAAGGAGUCAUCAUAAUUUUUUUCAAUAGAGACGUAACGAUAAGAAGUCAACGUAGAGCGACAUGAUUAGAGACUUCUUAUACGAUAAGAAGUCAACGUAGAGGGACAUGAUUAGAGACUUCUUAUACGAUAAGAAGUCAACGUAGAGGGACAUGAUUAGAGAAGAAGUCAACGUGGAGGACAUGACUAUAGUUGAUUAUAGACACUGUUCCCAGACUGAGAACCUCAAACAUUACUAGUGGGUUAGGAAUGGUAUAUAAUGGAUAAAUUAUUGAUCCGCUCAAGAGGUGUUUAGUAGUUAGUUUUCUUCAGGAAGUAGAUGAAGACGAUACAAUGCAUCUAGAAAAAGAUCGAACGUUUUCUACAUAUAGGCCCUCGGAAAUUGUACGAACUCCAAACAUCCCUACAUCUAUCUAGCCCGUGGAAACAACACACUUUAUGGACUUGAUAAUGUAGUGACUAUAAGUGAUUAAUAGUUCUAAUUACUUGACGCGGUACAGUCAUAUUAGUGAAAAAACAAAGACAGUUGUAAUAAUCUGACGUGUACGUGGGGUGCGUUAUGCUGUCAGAACUAAUCUAGAUAAUCAUAUAACGGAACGUUUAUUAACCGUCUUUUACAUCAUCUUCUAUAUCUAAUCUUAUUAACCGCUUGUGUGAAUUAACCAGUACAUGUGACAUUCGAUAUAUAGCGGCCACACCAGUACAUGUGACAUUCGAUCUUCUUAAGAGUAAUUAUAUAAUCAAGUCAAAUCUUAGUUCCCUAGUGUAUGUUACGCCACCAGUUUUAACUUCACUACUAGGCAGUCCAAGCGGAGUAGCAACAAUAACCCUUACUGAAUUAACCAGAGUCUGUGAAAAACACUGGAUUCUUUAUAGCGUUUACAAGGCGGAGGGGACAGUAGCAGAGGAACGUCAACUACGGGGGUCUGCGACUAAAGAGAUAAGGACACUCAACUAGGUGGGUGAAGUAAGAAAGGGGAAUAUAUAAUUGGAUGACAGAACAACUAAACCAAGAGAUAAAACUCGUAUACACCGUACAAGACGUGCUGUAAGUCAAAUCUAAAACAAAAACGCAGUUAAGUCAAACAAUAACAUCAAACACUCCAAUAAAAAGAAUGACACGUCUUGACUAUAAGAACACGACCCCUAACUCAAGGACAGAACGCAACUAAGUCAAAUACGUGGCGACGAGGAUCUCCCGUUCGAACGAAAUAUACGUUAGUUUACCAAUUACGAAACAACGUCAUAUACGUACGUUUGGUGGCAAACCUAACUGAACGUUAAUAUCCACCCGUACUGUUAUCAACUUCCUUCUAAGUCACCAACUCGUAAUCCAUGCGACGUUAAUGCAACUAUGACGAGGAGUUCUAGUACGGUGGUAACCUCCUUUAAACCGGAUGAUUAGAUGUAAUUUAAAAUAACCGUUAUUUAAUACGUUAGUUGAAAUCAAGUGAGAACAGAAUGAUAUAUAACAUCCAAUUAAGUGAAAACUUAUAAAAGUACCCGGAAUUCUAAUUGGAUAGGAACAAGGUAACGUGUUAGGGUUUGUUACCUUUAUAAUCAUUCAAAGUAACACCUAAGUAACCUAAGUACCAUAGUAAAAAAUUGUCCAAAAACGAUACAGUAUUAUAUGCGUUCAUCCGCACAGACUAAGAAAAAAACAUUCUUCAUAACCACGUCUCGAACUUCUUUUGGAACUCUCCCAGGUUCAAGAGAAUUCACACGAUAACAAUCUAUUACUAAACAUUCCAUAGAGUAUAAAAAGAAAGUCCUAUCUUCGAUAACAAUAGUGUUAGCGUGGACAUAGUUCCACUACGUGAAAUACACAGUAAUAGCUAGUUGUUCUUGAGAUGGUUCUACUUUCGUAACGGAAAUUUUCGUGAUACAGGUUACGAAGAUACACAUUUUAACUUACUGUAACACUAGUCAAUCUAACCACUUAACAAAGUACCGGGGCGUGUUAAUAUUGACUACUAAGUACAUCAUAAGUUUCG